AUUGAACGCUGGCGGCAGGCCUAACACAUGCAAGUCGAGCGAGCGGCGGACGGGUGAGUAAUGUAUGUGGAUUUGCCCGAUUGAUGGGGUUAACCACUGGAAACUGUUCCUACUACCGCCUUCUAUCGGCUGAUCCCAUAUGGGAUUAGCUAGUAGGUGGGGUAAAGGCUCACCGGGGCGACGAUCUCUAGCUGGUCUGAGAGGAUGAUCAGGCACACUGGAACUGAGACACGGCCCAGACUCCUACGGGAGGCAGGAGUGGGGAAUAGUGGAAAAUGGGCGAAAGCCUGAUGCAGCCAUGCCGCGUGUAUGAAGAAGGCCUUAGGGUUGUAAAGUACUUUAAGCGGGGAGGCGUUACCCGCAGAAGAAGCACCGGAUAACUCCGUGCCAGCAGCCGCGGUAAUAC
rnacentral:rRNA from 1 species